rnacentral:snRNA from 1 species
AUCCUCUCAAGGCCAAUUGGCUAAGAUCAUGUGUAGUUUCUGUUCUUUAUAGCUUGACAGCUGUAAGGAGUCCGCUCAGGGCUCCAUUUUAUCUGUCAUACUGAUUUUUGGAACCAAAGGAACAGUGGGCGCAAUGCCUCCGUUCUGCGGGUGUCCCUUGCACUGCAGUUCCGCUCGGUGACGCCCACGGAAG